AUUGAACGCUGGCGGCAGGCUUAACACAUGCAAGUCGAGCGGGGUGAUGGUGCUUGCACUAUCACUUAGCGGCGGACGGGUGAGUAAUGCUUAGGAAUCUGCCUAUUAGUGGGGGGCAACAUCUCGAAAGGGAUGCUAAUACCGCAUACGUCCUACGGGAGAAAGCAGGGGAUCACUUGUGACCUUGCGCUAAUAGAUGAGCCUAAGUCGGAUUAGCUAGUUGGUGGGGUAAAGGCCUACCAAGGCGACGAUCUGUAGCGGGUCUGAGAGGAUGAUCCGCCACACUGGGACUGAGACACGGCCCAGACUCCUACGGGAGGCAGCAGUGGGGAAUAUUGGACAAUGGGGGGAACCCUGAUCCAGCCAUGCCGCGUGUGUGAAGAAGGCCUUAUGGUUGUAAAGCACUUUAAGCGAGGAGGAGGCUUUUUUGGUUAAUACCUAAGAUGAGUGGACGUUACUCGCAGAAUAAGCACCGGCUAACUCUGUGCCAGCAGCCGCCGUAA
rnacentral:rRNA from 1 species